CCCGUAACGAGCGCAACCCUUGUCCUUAGUUACCAGCACGUUAUGGUGGGCACUCUAAGGAGACUGCCGGUGACAAACCGGAGGAAGGUGGGGAUGACGUCCAGUCAUCAUGGCCCUUACGGCCUGGGCUACACACGUGCUACAAUGGUCGGUACAGAGGGUUGCCAAGCCCCGAGGUGGAGCUAAUCUCACAAAACCGAUCGUAGUCCGGAUCGCAGUCUGCAACUCUACUGCUUGAAGUCGGAAUCGCUUGUAAUCGCGAAUCAGAAUGUCUCGGUGAAUACGUU
rnacentral:rRNA from 1 species